AGAAGCUUUGGAGCAAACGGUGGUGGACCAGAGGGAGGUGGACAGGGAUGCCGCGGGUGAGAGCUGAGCUGUCCGGCAGGAGGCUGACCCUGCGCAUGAGGCUCUAGGGAAACAGACUGGGGCUCCUGGCGCAGGUGUGGAAAAGAAAAUCCCACUGAAUGAGACCAGAGGAUGGAUUUGGCAGCACACUACAUCACAGCGUGUUUAUAUGUGGGAAUUUAAUAAGGUGGGGAAAAGCCUACAGUCAACAUGUCUCCAGUCUGGUGAUCGCUUCAUUCUCUGAACUUUCUUCUUCACUCCUGCUGAGAUCAAGCAAUAUUUACAACGCAAUACUAGAGUAUUCUGGAAAAUUCUGAAGAUCAUCUGGCAAGAUAGGGAACCGGACACUGAGGUCAUUUCUCAAGCUAAACUGCCAAGCAUUCAAACUCAACUACAGAAAGCACUCUGAUGGGCUGGCCAUGUUGUUCAAAUGUCAAAUGUACAUUUGC